rnacentral:rRNA from 1 species
AUUGAACGCUGGCGGCAUGCCUUACACAUGCAAGUCGAACGGUAACGGGCCUUCGGGUGCCGACGAGUGGCGAACGGGUGAGUAAUACAUCGGAACGUGCCCGAUCGUGGGGGAUAACGAGGCGAAAGCUUUGCUAAUACCGCAUACGAUCUACGGAUGAAAGCAGGGGACCGCAAGGCCUUGCGCGGACGGAGCGGCCGAUGGCAGAUUAGGUAGUUGGUGGGAUAAAAGCUUACCAAGCCGACGAUCUGUAGCUGGUCUGAGAGGAUGAUCAGCCACACUGGGACUGAGACACGGCCCAGACUCCUACGGGAGGCAGCAGUGGGAAUUUUGGACAAUGGGCGCAAGCCUGAUCCAGCCAUGCCGCGUGCAGGAUGAAGGCCUUCGGGUUGUAAACUGCUUUUGUACGGAACGAAAAGCCUUCUUUUAAUACAGGAGGGUCAUGACGGUACCGUAAGAAUAAGCACCGGCUAACUACGUG